CGACAGGCUUAACACAUGCAAGUCGAGGGGCAGCACAGGUAGCAAUACCGGGUGGCGACCGGCGCACGGGUGAGUAACGCGUAUGCAACUUACCUAUCAGAGGGGGAUAACCCGGCGAAAGUCGGACUAAUACCGCAUGAAGCAGGGGUCCCGCAUGGGGAUAUUUGCUAAAGAUUCAUCGCUGAUAGAUAGGCAUGCGUUCCAUUAGGCAGUUGGCGGGGUAACGGCCCACCAAACCGACGAUGGAUAGGGGUUCUGAGAGGAAGGUCCCCCACAUUGGUACUGAGACACGGACCAAACUCCUACGGGAGGCAGCAGUGAGGAAUAUUGGUCAAUGGCCGAGAGGCUGAACCAGCCAAGUCGCGUGAGGGAUGAAGGUUCUAUGGAUCGUAAACCUCUUUUAUAAGGGAAUAAAGUGCGGGACGUGUCCCGUUUUGUAUGUACCUUAUGAAUAAGGAUCGGCUAACUCCGUGCCAGCAGCCGCGGUAAUACGGAGGAUCCGAGCGUUAUCCGGAUUUAUUGGGUUUAAAGGGUGCGUAGGCGGCCUUUUAAGUCAGCGGUGAAAGUCUGUGGCUCAACCAUAGAAUUGCCGUUGAAACUGGGGGGCUUGAGUAUGUUUGAGGCAGGCGGAAUGCGUGGUGUAGCGGUGAAAUGCAUAGAUAUCACGCAGAACCCCGAUUGCGAAGGCAGCCUGCCAAGCCAUUACUGACGCUGAUGCACGAAAGCGUGGGGAUCAAACAGGAUUAGAUACCCUGGUAGUCCACGCAGUAAACGAUGAUCACUAGCUGUUUGCGAUACACUGUAAGCGGCACAGCGAAAGCGUUAAGUGAUCCACCUGGGGAGUACGCCGGCAACGGUGAAACUCAAAGGAAUUGACGGGGGCCCGCACAAGCGGAGGAACAUGUGGUUUAAUUCGAUGAUACGCGAGGAACCUUACCCGGGUUUGAACGCAUUCGGACCGAGGUGGAAACACCUUUUCUAGCAAUAGCCGUUUGCGAGGUGCUGCAUGGUUGUCGUCAGCUCGUGCCGUGAGGUGUCGGCUUAAGUGCCAUAACGAGCGCAACCCUUGCCACUAGUUACUAACAGGUAAAGCUGAGGACUCUGGUGGGACUGCCAGCGUAAGCUGCGAGGAAGGCGGGGAUGACGUCAAAUCAGCACGGCCCUUACAUCCGGGGCGACACACGUGUUACAAUGGCGUGGACAAAGGGAAGCCACCUGGCGACAGGGAGCGAAUCCCCAAACCACGUCUCAGUUCGGAUCGGAGUCUGCAACCCGACUCCGUGAAGCUGGAUUCGCUAGUAAUCGCGCAUCAGCCAUGGCGCGGUGAAUACGUUCCCGGGCCUUGUACACACCGCCCGUCAAGCCAUGGGAGCCGGGGGUACCUGAAGUCCGUAACCGCGAGGAUCGGCCUAGGGUAAAACUGGUGACUGGGGCUA
rnacentral:rRNA from 1 species